AGAAGAAGAAGAAGGAGGAGCGGAAGUGACGUGCAGCCAGACUUAAGACGAAAGUUACUCUCGUGACUCCCGGAUGUCUGCUCAGGUGUUUGUGUUGUACUUCGCUAAGAGCGUGGAACUCACCGGAGUGAAGGAGGAGGGGAGCGUUGCCGUGCCAACGCCAAUCAGCAGCCGGGACCUCUGGAGGCUGUUGCUACAGCGACACCCGAGAUUGUCCCUCCUGCAGGAUCAGGUGGUGUUGGCAGUGCGUCAGCAGUACGUUGCCAUUGGCGACCAGGUGGUAACCCUUGGAGACGGGGACGAGGUUGCCGUGGUGCCGCCGCUCAGUGGAGGAUAAACACAAGCUAUGAGCAAGUCGGAGGAGAGGCGGGACAUCUUCAAGCUGAGCCGUGAUUGGCUGUCGGUACAGGAAGUGGUCGACGCCGUCAGCAGCACUUCCUGCGGAGCCGUUUCAAUAUUUAUAGGUGCGACCCGCGAGGACGAGGUCGGCGGCAGGAGGGUGAUUGGUCUAGAGUACGAGGCGUACGAACUCAUGGCCCAAUCAGAGUUCAGUAAGCUGUGUGAUGACAUCAGAGCGCGCUGGCCAACCGUGACUCACGUGUGCGUCCACCACCGGCUGGGGUGGGUGAAGGUGGGCGAGGCCAGUGUUGUCAUGGCGAUCUCGUCUCCUCAUCGCCAUGACGGCCAGCAGGCGAUCUGGCACUGCAUCGAGCAGCUGAAGGCCAACCUCCCCAUCUGGAAGAAGGAAGUGUACGACACACAGGAGGCCAGCUGGAAGGAGAACGCAGAGUGUCCAUGGUCCUUUCAAAAAAAAGUUCCUCCAGCUGCGUCGCCUGGAGAAAACGUCUGAGCGGCGGAGAACAGAAGUUAUUGAUUAAGAGCGUUGUUGGUGUUUUUUGCAGCAGAUUGAGACUUCUAUGUCUGUCGUCACUGUGAUGGAAGAUUUCGCACAGACAAUUAGAAUAAAGGCUCUGAAUCAAA